CCGAGUUUACAACUCCCAAACCCAAUGUGAACGUUACCAAACUGUUGCCUCGGCGGGAUCUCUGCCCCGGGUGCGUCGCAGCCCCGGACCAAGGCGCCCGCCGGAGGACCAACCAAAACUCUUUAUGUAUACCCCCUCGCGGGUUUUUUACAAUCUGAGCCAUCUCGGCGCCCCUCGUGGGCGUUUCGAAAAUGAAUCA
rnacentral:misc_RNA from 1 species